CUACCCGCUGAACUUAAGCAUAUCAAUAAGCGGAGGAAAAGAAACUAACAAGGAUUCCCCUAGUAGCGGCGAGCGAAGCGGGAAGAGCUCAAAUUUAUAAUCUGGCACCUUCGGUGUCCGAGUUGUAAUCUCUAGAAGUGUUUUCCGCGUUGGACCGCACACAAGUCUGUUGGAAUACAGCGGCAUAGUGGUGAGACCCCCGUAUAUGGUGCGGACGCCCAACGCUUUGUGAUACACUUUCGAAGAGUCGAGUUGUUUGGGAAUGCAGCUCAAAUUGGGUGGUAAAUUCCAUCUAAAGCUAAAUAUUGGCGAGAGACCGAUAGCGAACAAGUACCGUGAGGGAAAGAUGAAAAGCACUUUGGAAAGAGAGUUAACAGUACGUGAAAUUGUUGGAAGGGAAACGCUUGAAGUCAGACUUGCUUGCCGAGCAAUCGGUUUGCAGGCCAGCAUCAGUUUUCCGGGGUGGAUAAUGGUAGAGAGAAGGUAGCAGUUUCGGCUGUGUUAUAGCUCUUUGCUGGAUACACCUUGGGGGACUGAGGAACGCAGUGUGCCUUACGGCGGAUUUCUCGAGAUCUUCACACUUAGAUGCUGGUG
rnacentral:rRNA from 1 species